GGAAGCAGCCCCAGUGUCACGAUCUGUGGGGUAGAUGGUAUCUGAUCUCAAAGAGAAGAGGGAGAGAGGAAUGAAGCCCGUCAGCAUCCCUGCUUGGAAACACACCUGCCCACGGUGGGUCUGUCCCACGGCAGGUAUGGUGCUCUGCUCCCAGGACCCUGCCAGCCCAAGCUCAGACAUUCUCCAGCUGCCACGUGUGAAGGCCCCUGUGCUUGUACAGCACUGCAAUGCCAGGGAGGCAAAACGCAUCCCCUGUCUGGUGCUGGACAUCAGGAUGAACUCACAAGAUUGCAGGAUUCUGGAGCUGACAGCAAAUAGCAAUUCCUGGACUUAAGGUGUUAAAAAGACUAAAAGACAGAACAUUAGCUCAUCUUAUUCAAGAUUCUUGUAGGAAGAUUUUUGCACUAUGAUGAUUGAACAAAGAUAUUUUUCUGUGCAAAAGAACCAUUUAAGGUAUUGGAC
rnacentral:lncRNA from 1 species